GGGUCAGUAGGUUGGUCGUGCCACCGGUACGUACUGGUCUCACUGAUUCCUCCUUCCUGAAGAACCGUAAUGCCAUUAAUUUGGUGUUGCGGGGAAACAGGACUGUUACUUUGAAAAAAUUAGAGUGUUUAAAGCAAGCUAACGCUUGAGUACAUUAGCAUGGAAUAAUGAAAUAGGACGAUCGAUCCUAUUUUGUCGGUUUCUAGGAUUGACGUA
rnacentral:rRNA from 1 species